rnacentral:lncRNA from 1 species
AUGCCUGUUAUUCAGCAACUUCAACAUCCAUCUUGUCAGCAAGCAGGUAAUGGAGUAAUUUUCUCCUUACUCCCUCAUCUUUCACGCAAGCUGAAUGAAUGUAUUUCUUACAGAGUGAAACAGCUCCAUGUGAGAGGCUGCUGCAUCCCUCCCUCCCUGCUGGUACACCCCCGAACGCUCCAGGGCAAGGCACUUCCAGAAAUGUUGGUUCAGAUAUCAUCAGCCAGAAAAGGCAGCAGAUCCCACACAACCAGGGUACCCUAACCACCAGUCUAUUUAAAAUGAGAUUACCAAGCUUGAGGUGAGAAUUUUACCAAAUAAUACAGACUUCCUUUAUUCCCUUGGUGUUAAGUGUCUAGAGCUUCUCAGCCUUACAUAUUUGAAAGUUUUAGUUUAACUGGCCAGUGGAAUACAAACUGAUUUAAUAAGUUUUACACAGCCUCAACUCUAUAUGGCAUUUGUCUUAAAACAAAUGUAAUUUGUCUUUAAAAAUUUGUCUUAAAUUUUUCUUAAAACAAAUUCAUAAAUGAGCACCAUUUCUAUGGGGAGCACCUGGGAUACACUUUUUUCUGGCAAAGUAUGCCUGUCCACUUUUCACAUACCUCACGUAUAAACUGUAGAUUUGCCUUAAAUGGGUUUUAAAAAGGAUAGAUUUUUAAAUGCAAGAACAAAACUCUCAGAAGGAGCUUUAGACUUCAUUUGGUAUUUCCCUUAUUUGUUGCACAACUAAAAUAAUGACAUGAAAUUAUUUAGCAGUCUGUGAUUACUGCAAACAAUGGAAGGAGAUUGUUUAUCUGCUUUUUUCCACAAUGAAAUGUGAAUUCUAUGCAGCUGACUACUCUGAUGUCAAUAGCCAUGAAACCAUUUCUCCCUUACUUUAUUCAAGGAAAAUUUUUCUGCUUAAAAUUUCAGCUUUUCCCCCCCAGUUUAGAAGUAAUAUAUAUAUUUGAUGCAUUUAUAGCCAGUUAACAGUUUUUAAUUCAACAGGAACAAAACCAACAGAAGUAAUUUGCAUGAUAGUUCGUGAUUGCAGCUGUGUCUGAAGAUUCUGCCUCAGUUUCUUUCCUCAUCUCCCUCCUCCCUGUGCCCUGUCU